AUACGGAGGAUGCGAGCGUUAUCCGGAUUCAUUGGGUUUAAAGGGUGCGCAGGCGGACGGUUAAGUCAGCGGUGAAAAGUAUGCGCUCGACGCAUAUCGUGCCGUUGAAACUGGCCGACUAGGAUGCGGAUGCUGUGGGAGGAAUGUGUAGUGUAGCGGUGAAAUGCAUAGAUAUUACACAGAACACCGAUUGCGAAGGCAUCUCACAAAACCGCGAUUGACGCUGAGGCACGAAAGUGCGGGGAUCAAACAGGAUUAGAUACCCUGGUAGUCCGCACAGUAAACGAUGAUAACUCGCUGUUGGCUCGCAAGGAGUCAGUGGCCAAGUGAAAGCGAUAAGUUAUCCACCUGGGGAGUACGACCGCAAGGUUGAAACUUAAAGGAAUUGACGGGG
rnacentral:rRNA from 1 species